GCUAGGAGGACAGGCGAGAAGAAGACGGUCUCCCAUUACGGAGUUCACUGCUGUCGGCACAUGUCAGGAGCGACUGUCGAAGGCUGGAUAACUAACAGACGCUCUCGGGAAAUUAAAGUCGUACUCAAACGGAUUUCACUUUAAUCUCCACCUUAGUGGGAUUUAUCACUUCCAUUUUAUCACGCGUCGUGUGUGCUUUGGAGUGAGCGCUAGAUGCACAGGGUCUCCGGGGCCCAUUUCCAGGGACACCAGAGUUAGCCCACGGGUCAGCCCCUCCUAUCUGUACGUCAGGUGAAUGUCCGAUCGGAAAUUUAUUUUGCGUGGAACAAUCCGUAAUCGUGGGUGCUGUUUUCUCCCAGCCGCGGAGGAAUGUACGGCUGUGUCUCGGUGGAAUCCUUCCGCCAGUACAUUUGAAUAAGUACAGAACUUACUUCCUGCUAGUGUGGUAUUGUCCCUAAUAAUUAACAACUGUGUCGAAAUCGGUGUAUUUUCCUGUUGGAUUUCUACUAAGUAUGCGGCGAUUGACCAAAUGUUGCACUCAACACGCCCUAAAUGUGAGUGUGUGGCGAGGCUUUGUCACCAUGUUGGUCACUGCCCUGAUUCGUUUGCGCAUGCGCAACUCCAACGCCCUGCUGUGCUGUUCGUUUGACCAUUUUUGGGUCGGAGAAUAAAAAUACAAAAGUAUGCGCUAAGUAUUUCAAUAACGAACGUCUCGGGUGUGUUAGUUUUUAAUAUUCAAAGUGUAGUUGGCGAUGAUUUAAGAUUAUCAGUUGCUACUUUUGCGGACCGUUAUAAUUACAAACUAGAAUAAUACAUAAUGUUGGAUAUAGAAAACAUACAAACCCUUUUUUGAGUCAAAAAUAUUAAAGUUUGGUGAUUUGGUGAAAUUGCAAACAGCUAAAUUGAUGUACAAAGCAAAUUAUAACCUGCUACCAAAGAAUGUACAACAAUUCUUCUCAAUUAAAGAGAAAUAUGACCUUAGAGGAAAAUCUAAUUUAAAACAUUUGUAUGCACGUACAACACUUAAAACAUUUAGCAUAUCAGCAUGUGGAAUUAAAUGAUGGAAUUGAUUAAGUAAAGAAGUUAAAUAAUGUACUGAUAUGAUCUAGUUUAAGAGAAUGUUCAAAUUAAUAGUGCUUACAAAGAACAAAGAAGAAGAAUUAAGAGAACACUUUCAAACUUAUUGAAAAUAAGAUAUCCUUCAUCUUAGUAUGUUAAUAAUGACUGAAUUAAGUACAUAUUACAAAACUGUUGUGUUGCUCAUUCACAGAUGUCAUUUUGCUAUAAAGAAGGUCAGUGAAUGAAUGUAUAUAUUUGUGGGCGCUCUGACGUGGGAAAGGGGUAGGAUUAAAUAACCUUUGCUUCUUCCUUUUCGGACAUGUAUUGUGUAUUGUAAAAUUAUGAAAUUGCCUGAUGUAUAAUGUUGUAGGUAUGUCAUGUUCGAAAUAAACUAAGAAAAGAAAGAAAGAAGAAAAACUGCCGUCAAGAAGAGUACCCAGUAUUUGCAUAUAAUUUUGGCGCAUGCGCAAACGGAUUAGGCAAAAGCUAGGCUGACUACAUUCAGAAAAGUAUUUAAUCGUUUUGUUUUAUUAUUGCCCCAUGUUGUUCAUAUAGUCGAAUGUGUGCUUGGUGUUUUUGUCCGGAUUGGUUAACAUGUUGAAUGCCGUGUUUGUGUGUAAAUAAAGCUUUGAAGAAAACAAACUUGUCAUCUGGUGUUUGUGCAAAGCCGAAAAACUAAAUACCACCCGUCACUGCACGAUCGGUCCACGCAUGCACGAAGCCGGUGUUGUGCCGAAUUCUGCACCCCCGCCGUAAAAUGCACCCCCUGUCGGGAGCGCGCUUACGUCACUCGGUUGCAUCACCCGUCUCGAAAAGUAGCUAAACUCGGCUAAAAUCGGCUCUUUCGGCAUAAAAAUGUACAUAACAAGGUGAAUAAUCCAAGUUGUCUUUACUUUGGAUAUAUUAAUGGAUGGAUUAAUUGUGAUUCUUCAAUGAUUUCGCCGCCAUUGCCUUUAAUGAUUUCGUCGUCAUUCAGAUCCGCUGUGACAUCUGUGACAGGUGGUUUCACCACGAGUGUGUCCUGAGGCCAGAUCUUGAUGGGGAUUACCUGUGCCCUGCAUGUGUAUGAUGAUUGCCUUUGUGUUCACUUCAUUUGACGUUUGACUUUGUGUUCACUUCAUUUGUGUGACUUUGUGUUCACUUCAUUUGUGUGACUUUGUGUUCACUUCAUUUGACGUUUGACUUUGAAUAUUUUAUAUAUAAAUUAUUUAACUAUGUGUGGAUUUUGUUAGACUUAAACUUAGACAAACUUUAAUGAUCCACAAGGGAAAUUGUUAUUUGUUUGUAUCAAAAAAAAAUUGCAUUAUAUCUUGUUUGAUAAGAAAUUAUAUUUCUUCUCCUCUGA